UUCCACCCUAGGUUUCCAGCUCGGAGAAGCUUAGUUUUUGAGGAAGCCGGGGACUCACACCACCAUUCUCCGUGAGUUUCCUGGUCUGAAAAGAUUGCCAGACAGGAGCUAUUGAAAGUCCCCAUGUCCUGUGUGCAGAUUUUUAAUGGAAACCUCAAACCUGUUACACCACAGUGAGGCAGCUAUCCUGAGAAGACAGUAACUGAAGAUGAGGCAGAUGCCCCAGAGUUCAUUGCGCCCUGCUUACAGCAGCCAGGACGUGGAAGCAGCCUAGAGGCCCAGCGACAGAGGGACGGAUAAAGAAGGCGUCGCGGCUUCACUUUCAUGCAUUGGAGAAGGAAAUGGCACCCCACUCCAGUGUUCUUGCCUGGAGGAUCCCAGGGACGGGGGAGCCUGGCGGGUUGCCGUCUAUGGGGCUGCACAGAGUCGGACACGACUGAAGCGAGCUGGCAGCAGCAGCAGUGCAUAUGACAAUGGACUAUUACUCAGCCAUGAAAAGGAAAGAAAUUGGGUCAUUUUAGAUUCUGCACGUAAAUGAUUUCAUAUGAUAUUUCUCUUUCUCAGACUUCACUCAGUGUGAUAAUUUCUAAGUCCAUCCAUGUGGUUGCCUGGAUGGGAGGGGAGGAGGGAUACAUCCAUAGGUACGGCUGAGUCCCUUUGCUGUGCACUCAAAACUAUCACAGCAUUAUUAAUCAGCCAUACUCCAAUGCAAAAUUAAAAGUUAAUGAAAAACAACAACAACAGCUUCUAAUUCGAACGGGCAAUAUAGCCUCUCAGGGAUGUCAGAGCUUAUUCACUUGGAGAUGAAAGGCACUUACCUUGUCCAUUU
ensembl:lncRNA